rnacentral:rRNA from 1 species
CACCGCGGUUAUACGAGAGACCCGAGUUGUUAGACACCGGCGUAAAGAGUGGUUAAGAUUGACUCAAAACUAAAGCCGAACGCCCUCAGAGCUGUUAUACGCACCCGAGGGUAAGAAGCCCAAUCACGAAAGUGGCUUUAUCCUAUCCGAACCCACGAAAGCUAUGAUA